rnacentral:rRNA from 1 species
UACGUAGGGGGCAAGCGUUGUUCGGAAUUACUGGGCGUAAAGGGCGCGUAGGCGGCACGGCAAGUCGGGAGUGAAAGCCCUCAGCUCAACUGAGGAAGUGCGCCCGAAACUGCAGAGCUUGAGUGCCGGAGAGGGUGGCGGAAUUCCCCAAGUAGAGGUGAAAUUCGUAGAUAUGGGGAGGAACACCGGUGGCGAAGGCGGCCACCUGGACGGUAACUGACGCUGAGACGCGAAAGCGUGGGGAGCAAACAGG